GUGCACAGUGAAUACCCAAGUGUACUUUAUAGUUCCCUUGGUUUUGACCCUGUGCUAGAGCAAUGCCUGUCUUUUUCCUCUGCAUUGAAAGGUAUAUUUAUCCUUUUAAAUGUAUUCACAAAGCCAGCACAUUA
ensembl:snoRNA